ACCGGCCAUGACAUUCGCCAUACAGCGAUCAUGAUACUCGCCUCCUGAAAAGAGUGGUUACGAUGACUACACCGGAUAUGACAAGUGUAUUGUCUCCCGCAACUUCAACUAUCACCGAAUUAGGAAUUUCUUAUGCGUGAUUUAACGGUUCGGUUUCAAGUUCCACUGAUGGUUCAAAGCUCUUCGCAAUUGUCUAAAUUUUAGGAUGGAUUCCUUUGGGAAAUCACCCUAGUUUUAGAGGUUCGGAAGAGUUUGGAGUGAAAAAGGGAUAAAAACAAGUAUUUUUUACAGCUUUGCGAGGCUAUGGUGUUUCGAGCACAUCUCACUUGUUGGAACUUGGAUUUAAGUGAUUCAAGAUGAUCUGGAAAGCCAACAAACGGCCAUACAACUUUGAAGUUUUGAGUUUCUGCAGAUUCGGGCUGCAUCUAAGCCGAAAUUGACGUUGAAGGCAAAAACGUGUUGCCUGACAGUAAAUGGAAACAAGUACAAGUCAUUAACAUAUCAUGGUGGAUCAUAGGAUUUUCAAAUCUUUUAUAUGCUUAAAAUUAUUUUCAUUGAGGGUGGACUAGGGGUGGUUUGGGAUUGCUU